rnacentral:lncRNA from 1 species
UUCACCGGUUUCGUAAAGCGGUCGUUUGUUUUUGCGCAAUGCGGAAGUGUCGUCUUGAUGCAGUUUUUUGGCUAAAAAGUUGACGAAUCUUCGUCUCACCACGUCUGUCAUUUAUUUUACGUUUGCCAUCAGUUUUAGGCAGUAACUGUUAGCUGUCGAGAGUACCGGAACAGACUGUGAAGUAUUUCUAUAGAUCUAAAUAUGGUUCGUAAAAAAUGGCACUUUGUCUGGCAUUCGGAAUUCCUACACUAGCGAUCCAUGAGGACUUUAAAAUAUCCAGUUUCCAGAAUGGCAGGAAGGAAGGACUUAUUGAAUUGGACCACUUGUCAAGGCAGCUUACAAAAAUCAGAAAUUUAAAAGCAGCCACUCGGCGACAGUAAGCUUGUCAACAUUUUCCAUAAAAUUUCCAAAAUAAAUACUGGGAAAAAAACAUGGAAAUACAUACGACAUCAACACAAAAUAGGACAGCACCAGAAUGAAUGCAGAAGUUGUCACGAGUGGUGUGGCAUUGUUCCUGUUCAUUUAUGGUUUACAGAUUCCAAAAGUCUGAACCAGAUAUGAGUAGAGUACAGUUUGAGAAAUGUCUUGGUAGAACAGAUACUAAGGAAAUAAUAAAGAGCAGAACAGACCACAUUUCUCCUUCUUAUAACUGGUAAAGUUCCAAGUAAGGGCGAGUACAAUAAUGCAGCCCCAGUGAGAGUUCGUAAUGAGGUGUCAACUUUAAAUGUGUGGUCGUUAAAUGAUGUGCAGUCAGAUUGACAAGUAUUUGAAGUAACAUUAAUUUAUAAAUUAUCAGUUCUGAGAGAAAUUUUUGCUGAGCUUUGUGCAGGAUACUC